CCUUCUAAAGUAAAACAAAACUAUCGGACCAUUAACAAAAUUCACCAAAAUCCUUCCAAAAAGUGAGCAGAAAAGAAACAUGAUUGGGCAUUUGAACAAAAAACAAUUCAAGGAAACUAAGACACAGCUAUGAUAUAUUAAUGACAAAUGUAAGUUAGCUAAAGCACUCGGUUUUUGAUAAGGUGUCCAAUCUACUUUUUGAGAGGAAGCAACAACCAGAAGAUCGCACUACCAUCCAGGCUACCAUAAGAGCAUGAACGGACAAAAAUAUCUUACUAGAAAGUUCAAAUGAGGGACGACCACACAACUUUUGGCUAAACUAUUCUUCUUAAGUAAAAGAAUCAUCUGAGUGGUAUAGCGAGUGGCACAAGUCACCAUUAAGUCAGGCAGCCUUAAUCAACAUAAGUGGAGUUUAAUACGUAUUGUUCUUAGACCAGCCAGGGCCAAGGAAAAUGACACAUUACUAUGAAGUUUCCCAGAAAAUUAAAAUUACUAAUAUCCAACCUACCAUAUUGAUAAACAAGAAGCAAUCGUAGGUUGAAGGAUAUGAAAAAGACUAAAAAGAGUGAAUAUAAUGUAUAAAACCGUUUACAAACAAAAAGAAUAAAGCCUUGAACAACCAAAAUUACAAUAAAGCCACCAAACAAGUGAAUAAAACUACAAAUUAUAUGAAUUUAUGGGCUAUAUUAGGGUAAGGGUCUUUCAAUAACGGAUAUAUUUCUGUUUUUUCUACCGGAAAAUGUCUCGUGUUCAUCCCAAGAGGAUCUUUACGUAUCAAUGAACUAAUACAUAAACAUCAGUUGUAGAAACAAAAGUAGAAAGUUAUUUUCCUUGAGAAAUCUAAUUAAGUUUUCCUCUAGCUUCCGAAUUCUAGUCAUUUUGGUAAGAGUAACUUCUAUGCACAUUAAAACAAGAAGUCUCCAGAAAAAAUUCAAUCCCAUGUGCAUAUUGCUGGCUAAAGCCAACAAAUAAAUGCCAACAAUAUGGUAGAAGUAAGAAUAAUAAAACCAUAUUGAUACUGGGCCCAAACACAAAAUAAAAAGAAAUGCAUGAGCUUAUCAGCAAGAACAGAUUCAAUUGCCAAACAACCUUCUUCAGGAGCUACUGUAAUGCAACACUGUUGGACAUGAUAUCGGGGACUGCAUGUGGAAGUGCAUGAUUCAAUGAUCCAAGUUUAAACAGGGAAUAUAUUACAAAGCCAACAGAUAUUUUGCACGUAAAUACAUUAGAUUCAUAUUAGAAGAAAAUAUGGCUAGAUACAGAGUAAAAAGAACCAUCACAAAAGUAAAGAAUCAAUCAUUAUCCAGACAACCUUAAGAGAUAACUAGGUGAUAAUUUCCUUGCAGCCACCUUUUUGGCAAUCCUUAAUAAGAACUGAUGAUCUUGUUUAUACGUGCUGCACUAAUUACGUUUACAGAUUGAGCUGGAAAGCAUAUACAAGAAAAUAAGUUAGAAUUUUAACCUGUACCAUACAAGGUUAUCCAGUACUAUAUAUCAAACAUUUGCUAUGAGAAUAACCUCAAAAAAGAUAUGGUUUGGUAGUCCUAC
rnacentral:lncRNA from 1 species